rnacentral:lncRNA from 1 species
AACAAUUCUAUCUCAGAGUUUACACGUCCUCUACUUCGUACCGAGACGAGUAUCCGCCACCAAAGAACGCUCUUAUGUGCGGACGAGCUAGAGGCCGCCACACUAGGCCGUUCUAGAACGAAUAUCAAAAUCCAACGGCUCAACCUUUUUUAUUUUAUUUAUGAUUGGAUGAUCUAAAAUGUUUAGUAUUGUCACGAGAGGGUGGCAACAAAUGAGAGCUUCGUGGAUUUUGUUCACUACGGCAUGAAAGUUACGAAAACAAUUUGGAGCUUGACUUGAGCUUUCAAUUUAAUUUGAAUGAUGAAAUCAAAUGUAGUGUUCUUGUUUUUAAAUCUUUUAAAACAAUUUUCAUUACUUGUUUUUCGAACUCUAAAGUUAUUGUAUUACGUGACCACAAGACUUAUUUAUCUGUAUUGUCAUUCCACAAGAACCAGCAAAACUCAAGUUAGCUGAUUAAAAAGAUUUUGCAUAAAAUAUCUUAAACAACGACAGCAAGAGAGGAUAAUUUCUUACAAACUUAUGACAAAUAACAAAAAUUGGACCUUUUGACCAUAAAAAGAAAAAGAAAAAAUUGGACCUCACUUUUAGGGGUCAUAUUCGUAUGUUUUAGGGCAGCAAUUCUAUGACCAAGGUUACACUUCAUGUACACGAGUAUCAUCGAUCUAUGAUAUUCAAUUAUCCGCUGAUGCUGCCGUUCUAGAACGAAUAUCAAAAUCCAACGGCUCAACUUUUUUUUAUUUAUGAUUGGAUGAUCUGAAAUGUUUAGUAUUGUCACGAGAGGGUGGCAACAAAUGUGAGCUUCGUGGAUUUUGUUCACUACGGCAUGAAAGUUACGAAAACAAUUUGGAGCUUGACUUGAGCUUUCAAUUUAAUUUG